rnacentral:lncRNA from 1 species
UCCAUCCUGUAUUCUAUCCGAUGUUUUUGAGUAAUAACUAAUAAGAGAUUUUUAUUUGGAAUCACGUUUGUGUUUUAUAGGCAAUGUCUGUUGGAAUAUUUCCAUAUGUACUGAAGCUGUUGCAAACGAUGACACCUGAACUAUGACAGAUUCUUGUAUUCAUUUGGACAAAACUUCUUGCACUGGAUAAGGGAAAGAAGGGAAUUUGGCUUAAGCUACUGGUAGAACGAGCUGAGCUUGUUCCAGUUGCUGUUGAGGGAGAGACAGCGGUAGCAGCUAUGGGUUGCAGGGAGAGACAGUGAUGGUGCAGCUGCAUUAGUGCUAGCGAGUGGGAAGAAGGCACUUGAAUGCAAUAGUGUCAGCAUGUGUAUUUGUUGGAAUAAUGAUAUUGUAUCAGCUUUUGCUAUCUUUCAUUGUAAUUAGCUAGGAUGCAGCAGCCAUCAAGCUAGCUAGAAUGUCUUCUUUUUGGUUUUAUGAGUAUUUCAAUGCCUAA